GCGAAAGUAGCUCAGUUGGUAGAGCAUGACCUUGCCAAGGUCAGGGUCGCGGGUUCGAGUCCCGUCUUUCGCUCGA
rnacentral:tRNA from 3 species